AAGCAUUGUGGGGUUGAGGAUAACUCUUGUUUCUAAAUCCUGGCAAUUUCAGGGAAAGGAAUGACAUUCUGUUUUGUUAAGUUCUCUUGCCUUGAACUCAGCAUGUGCCGUCCUUGAGAAAGCAGCAAGCUCGGGGCUAGACAGUAAUUUUCCAGACAGCAAGCCUUUACUCAGCGGAUCUGGUGAUAGCUCAAGGCAAACUACAGUCCAUGCAGCCUUACCAACAAACUGCAGUACAGCCAAACCUGCAACACUUGCAGAUGCCACUGAGCCACUAAAGAAAGGUCCGCUGGUGAGCCCUUUGGAUGACAACUUCUCCCUCCCAACAGAGACACAGACUCUAAUUGCCUUUGGAAAGGAAAUAUUAACAACAACCACAAGAAGCACUGGUUGGUGUCAGUGCAAACCACACUGAAAUCUGACUGUAGUUGCUUUUGAAAGGGGAAUGGAAUGUACUUCUUACUAUUAGAGCUGCUUCAUGUGUCUGCUGUAUGAGGAAAGUACUGCUAAAAAAUUAUGGAAUUUAGAGUGCACGAAAAAGAUUUUUUUUUCCUCUUUUUGAAUAUGUAAGGUGUCAGGAGCCCUUCAAGGCUGGAGGAUUAAAUUAUGUGAACGGACGCGGAAGACGGCAUGAGAACUGCAUCCAAGAGACCAACUGGCGGCUUCGGCAGUGGUGUCUUGAGGCAGGCUUCGGCUUCCUGGACAAUGACCCGCACAUCACGACGAGGGGCAUGCUCAGCUGGGAUGGGCUUCACCUGUCCCCCAAAGUGAAUGUGAGCAUCAGCUUGAUAAAGCCUGCUUGAGAAUCUGGUUGUGAUACCUGUCAGCAAAAUACAGACCUUUACAUGGGGAUUUCAUAAUAAUGCUAACACCAAACAUGGUCAGCCUCAAUCUGAGUUCUAGUUCUGGCUCUGAUGACUUUAUCCUGAGUCCUGGUGCAUUCCUGCAUUUUUUUAAAUGAAAACGUCAUAAUUUUACAAGGAGGAAGCAAGUUUGACCCUGAAACCCGAGACCCUGCUCCUGCCUUUGUUCAAGAGAGUAUGCAUCAUCACAGAGCCUCAUCACACAGCUCAGACACCUUGCUGCAUCAGAGAAGCCUGCCCAGAAGAGCAUUCCAUCUUUUUAUUCCUCUGUGAAAUAUGAAACACCAUAACCAGAAGGAAAUAUGACUACAUCCUGCUUACCACCAAACAAAUUCGAGGUAAACAGACUACAAACUUUUCUCUGAGCAUAAUCUGCAUAUAAAACAAUCUGUUCCGAACAGGAGAUUUUACCACGCCUUCAACUCUCCCAUGAAAUAUGAACUUUCAUUUCUACCCAGGAGAACUUUUACAAUCUUUUCUCCAAUGCCUGAUGAAGGGUGUUUGUGCCCAAAAGCUUGCAAUUAAAGAUUUUUUUUUUUUUUUUUUUUGCAAAAAUCUAGUUGCUCUAAUAAAAGAUAUGACCUCUACUAUGAGUUCUGAUUCCUGCAGACCAUGUUUUUACCCAUUCUUUACCUACCUGUACCAGUAUACAACAUGGUGAUACAUGCAUAAUAUUGACACAUGUAUAAACAAGUGCACCCUUUGGGUGAACUAAGGCACUCCACAUGAGUGGAUAUCAACUAACAGCCAUGUCCUCUCUUGUACAUUUUAUUUCAUACUUAGUAGUAGAGCAAUGAUAGGAACAUAGAAAGCUGCAGACAACAGAAAUGAUUAGCACAAAUAGUAGUCUCUCUCCAGUCUUGACAAUUUGUAGUUAUUAAUUUGUAGCAUAUUAAAUAAUCUGCAUAUUAUGUUGUUCCUAGGUAACUUCAUAAAACACCAGCAUCUACACUGUACAUGUACCCUUAGUUCUACUUAGCCCAAUGUGGUACUAAAUACCUGUGUGCAAAUAAAACCAAUAGAUGUUUUGAAACCAGGGUUUAAUUUUUUUGGGGGGGGGCGGGUAGAAAUUUGAACAUUUCCUAUUGCAUUAACUGACUUUAUAGCAAUUUUAUUUUGGUGCUGUCAUAAAAGGAGGUAAUGAACCAUGAAGUUUCUUCGUGAAAUUGUCAUCAGCCUACAAAUAACAUUUAGCCACAUGUGAGCCAUGAAAAAGAACACGAUGAUUCAGAGGAAACCGCUUGUCUUCAUCCUAAUGGAAAACCAGUCAGCUACAUUUGUAUUAUCUGAUUUUUUUUUUCUGUUUUGUUUCUUUUUUUUAAAGAAAUGUCACUGGUAUGUGAUGAUGGGACAUUUAAGUACGUGCUAGUCUUUGCACAGAUAAGAUUAACUUCUUUCUUCUUAUGACAGCACAUGCUUUCGCAGAUGGAUAAUCAUAGUGAAAGGAUAAUCAAUAAAAUAAAAUAAACUCAACAACCUGGUUUUUUAUUCCCUUAUAGAUCUCACUUUUAAAAACAGUUAUCUCUCUAUUAUCUGUGAUGCUUUCUUUGUUCUUCAAACUGGGUACUUUAAUACUAAAUCAAAAUGAAACCCAUAUCUAAUCAAAGAGAAUAGGAAGUUAAAUGAUUUUUCUUAUCGACUCCAAACAUGUACAAAUGGAGAAUCUGAUAGCAGUUAUUUAGUAUUAGGUAGUCUACUGUUAUGUUGUUGUAAUCUGUGAUAGUGUUUAUAUCUAUCUCUACCACUUGCCUGGAACUUUGUUGACAAAUAUGUGUUAAACAGUCAAUUGACAUCCCUGUGUUGCACUAUACUGAAAAUAUAUAUGGGGAUGAAAUCUCUUGUGCCUUGUCUGGUGUGUGAUGAUGUUAUGCCAGUGCAACAAGAGAAAAAUAAAA